AGUUUGAAUCUAAAAAUAGGUUUUAUUAUCUGAUUUAAACAAAAGUUAAACGGGAAACAGGUGCACUUCAGGAAGAAGUAAAGCCCGUACUGCCCCCGCAACGGUAUAUAAGAGCAAGUAGCACUGUUCAAUUUCACUAGCUAGAUUAAGUAGCCUCUAUUUAAUCUAAACUGGGAAGGAAUGAACUUAUCUUAUUCAGUCCGGAGACCGGCCUAUACGUACUUCAGGGC
rnacentral:ncRNA from 2 species